AGUGAACGCUGGCGGUAGGCCUAACACAUGCAAGUCGAACGGCAGCACAGUAAGAGCUUGCUCUUACGGGUGGCGAGUGGCGGACGGGUGAGGAAUACAUCGGAAUUUACUUUUUCGUGGGGGAUAACGUAGGGAAACUUACGCUAAUACCGCAUACGACCUACGGGUGAAAGCAGGGGAUCUUCGGACCUUGCGCGAUUGAAUGAGCCGAUGUCGGAUUAGCUAGUUGGCGGGGUAAAGGCCCACCAACGCGACGAUCCGUAGCUGGUCUGAGAGGAUGAUCAGCCACACUGGAACUGAGACACGGUCCAGACUCCUACGGGAGGCAGCAGUGGGGAAUAUUGGACAAUGGGCGCAAGCCUGAUCCAGCCAUACCGCGUGGGUGAAGAAGGCCUUCGGGUUGUAAAGCCCUUUUGUUGGGAAAGAAAAGCAGCAGGUUAAUACCCCGCUGUUCUGACGGUACCCAAAGAAUAAGCACCGGCUAACUUCGUG
rnacentral:rRNA from 1 species